UACAGAGGUCCCAAGCGUUGUUCGGAUUCAUUGGGCGUAAAGCGCGCGUAGGCGGCCCGGUAAGUCCGCUGUAAAAGUCAAAGGCUCAACCUUUGAAUGUCAGUGGAUACUGCCGGGCUAGAGUCCGGAAGAGGCGAGUGGAACUCCUGGUGUAGCGGUGGAAUGCGCAGAUAUCAGGAAGAACACCGACGGCGAAGGCAGCUCGCUGGGACGGUACUGACGCUGAGGCGCGAAAGCGUGGGGAGCGAACAGG
rnacentral:rRNA from 1 species